CGAGUGAAGCGGGAAAAGCUCAAAUUUAAAAUCUGGUGGUCUUUGGCCAUCCGAGUUGUAAUCUAGAGAAGUGUUACCCGCGUUGGACCGUGUACAAGUCUCCUGGAAUGGAGCGUCAUAGAGGGUGAGAAUCCCGUCUUUGACACGGACUACCAAGGCUUUGUGGUGCGCUCUCAACGAGUCGAGUUGUUUGGGAAUGCAGCUCAAAAUGGGUGGUAAAUUCCAUCUAAAGCUAAAUAUAGGCGAGAGACCGAUAGCGAACAAGUACCGUGAGGGAAAGAUGAAAAGAACUUUGGAAAGAGAGUUAAACAGUACGUGAAAUUGCUGAAAGGGAAACGCUGGAAGUCAGUCGCGUUGGCUAAGAAUCAACCUUACUCUUUUGUGGGGCUUACUUCUUAGUUGACGGGCCAACAUCAGUUUUGAUUGCUGGAAAAGGUCUCAAGGAAUGUGGCACCUUCGGGUGUGUUAUAGCCUUGGGUCAUAUACAGUGGUUGGGAUUGAGGAACGCAGCACGCCGUAAGGUUGGGUUUCGACCACACUCGUGCUUCGGAUGUUGGCAUAAUGGCUUUCAUCGACCCGUCUUGAAACACGGACCAAGGAGUCUAACAUGCCUGCGAGUGUUUGAGUGGAAAACUCGAGCGCACAAUGAAAGUAAAAGUUGAGAUUUCUGUCAUGGAAAGCAUCGACGCCCGGACCUGAUGUUUACUGACGGUUCUGCGGUAGAGCAUGUAUGUUGGGACCCGAAAGAUGGUGAACUAUGCCUGAAUAGGGUGAAGCCAGAGGAAACUC
rnacentral:rRNA from 1 species